AUUGAACGCUGGCGGCAGGCCUAACACAUGCAAGUCGAACGAGUGGCGGACGGGUGAGUAAUGUCUGGGAAACUGCCCGAUGGAGGGGGGUAACUACUGGAAACGGUAGCUAAUACCGCAUACCAUCGGAUGUGCCCCGAUGGGAUUAGCUAGUAGGUGGGGUAACGGCUCACCUAGGCGACGAGCCCUAGCUGGUCUGAGAGGAUGACCAGGCAACCUGGAAAUGAGAAACGGUCCAGAACCCUACGGGAGGGAUCAGGGGGGAAUAUUGCACAAUGGGCGCAAGCCUGAUGCAGCCAUGCCGCGUGUAUGAAGAAGGCCUUCGGGUUGUAAAGUACUUUCAGCGGGGAGGCGUUACUCGCAGAAGAAGCACCGGCUAACUCCGUGCCAGCAGCCGCGGUAAUAC
rnacentral:rRNA from 1 species